GACAAUGGUUUCAUACCAUAAAAGCACCAGAUCCCACCUUAUCUUGGAAGCUAAGCAGGGUCAGCCCUGGUUAAUACUUGGAUGAGGGAUUGCCCAUGAAUAUUAGCUGCUGUAGGCU
rnacentral:rRNA from 1 species